rnacentral:rRNA from 1 species
GACGAACGCUGGCGGCGUGCCUAAUACAUGCAAGUUGAGCGCUGAAGGUUGGUACUUGUACCAACUGGAUGAGCAGCGAACGGGUGAGUAACGCGUGGGGAAUCUGCCUUUGAGCGGGGGACAACAUUUGGAAACGAAUGCUAAUACCGCGUAAAAACUUUAAACACAAGUUUUAAGUUUGAAAGAUGCAAUUGCAUCACUCAAAGAUGAUCCCGCGUUGUAUUAGCUAGUUGGUGAGGUAAAGGCUCACCAAGGCGAUGAUACAUAGCCGACCUGAGAGGGUGAUCGGCCACAUUGGGACUGAGACACGGCCCAAACUCCUACGGGAGGCAGCAGUAGGGAAUCUUCGGCAAUGGACGAAAGUCUGACCGAGCAACGCCGCGUGAGUGAAGAAGGGUUUCGGAUCGUAAAACUCUGUUGGUAGAGAAGAACGUUGGUGAGAGUGGAAAGCUCAUCAAGUGACGGUAACUACCCAGAAAGGGACGGCUAACUACGUG